ensembl:lncRNA
UGGGGCUGGCGUUAUUUAGCACCUCUGUAGGCGACAUGGACAGUAGGAUCGAGUGCACCCUCAGCACGUUUGCAGACACCAGGCUGAGUGGUGCAAUUGACACACUAGAAGAAAGGGAUGCCAUCCAGAGGGACCUGGAGCAGCCUGAGGGGUGCACCCAUGCCAACAUCCUGAAGUUCAACAAGGCCAAGUGCAAGGUCCUGCACCUGGGUCGAGGCAGUCCCAAGCACAGAUACAGACUGGGUGGAGAAUGGCUUGAGAGCAGUCCCGAGGAGAAGGAUUUGGGGGUGUUGGUUGAUGAAAGGUUCUACAUGAUCUGGCAAUGUACUGUUGCAGCCCAGAAGGCUGCAUCAACUGUAUCCUGGGCUGCAUCAAGAGAAGUGUGACCAGCAGGUUGAGGGAGAUGAUUCUGCCCCUCUGCUCUGUUCUCAUGAGGACCCCACCUGGCGUACUGCAUCCAAUUUUGUUAACCCCAACUCAAGAAGGACAUGGAGCUGUUGAAGUGGGUCCAGAGAAGUGCCAUGAAGAUGAUCAGAGGGUUGGAGCACCUCUGCUAUGAGGACAGGCUGAGAGAGCUGGGGCUCUUCAGCCUGGAAAAGAGAAGGCUCCAGGGGGGCCUUCCAGUACCUGAAGGGGGCCUACAGGAAAGCUGGGGAGGGACUUUUUAUAAGGGAAUGUAGCGACAAGAUGAGGGGAAAUAGCUUUAAACUGGAAGAGGAUAGAUUUAGACUAGAUAUCAGGAAGAAAUUCUUUAUUGUGAGGGUGGUGAGACACUGGAACCGGUUGCCCAGCGAGGUUGUGGAUGCCCCCUCCCUGGAAGCAUUCAAGGCCAGGCUGGAUGGCACUUUGAGCAACCUGGUCUAGAGGGAGGUGUCCCUGCCUAUAGCAGGGGGUUGGAACUAGUGAUCUUAAAGGUCCCUUCCAAGACAAACCAUUCUAUGACUCUAUGAUACGUGGUUACCCUUCCUAUGCAGUCAUAAAAUAUAUAGAGAGAAGGUUGCUGUGAUCCCAGAAUGGCAGGCCAAACACCUACAACCACAGAUCCCUUUUCACUCCAAUCCUCUGAAUAUUUAAUUAGUUUGUACAAAGCAGAGUGGUUUCAGCAGGGAAGCCUGAGAGAGACCCAGGCAGUGAGACCCACUGAUUAAGGCACACAGCAGAAGGGCCCGGUCCCAGGCCCCUGCUCCAAAGCAGGCAGAGGAAGGAUUUAAGCAUUCAUCACAGCGUGGCUGCUAGCGUGUUAGCUAUUCACAGCAGAGGAUGUGACACUUCCUUUCUCUUCUCUCCCCCACCCGGCCUUCUAUGCCAGCUAGAUGUGGUUUAACCACCUUAAGAGUUACAGAGUCCGGUAGGGAGACAGGAUGAGGAAUGCUUCGUUUGUGUCCUAAAAACUGUACAAAAUGAAUGGAUGAAAAUUUGAUGAGGAGUUUUUCAGCCAUUCAAGCACCUCUCUUAAUAAUUCAGAUGUUUGAUUUUCUUCUCCAGGAUGCAGUAAGGAUUAAUGCACUUUUGAAAUGAUAUAUAAACUUUAGUUUUCAGGAAUGAAAAAAACCCUCAGAUUUUAAAACAAAAAUACCACAGAGGAGUACUGCUCCGUGAGAUGCUAUUACCCCGAUUCCCUUUACUGCUGACUGUCACUGUUUGCACUUAAAUUUCAGCAUAUAGGGAUCUUCUUCAGCCAACCUCUAAUAAACAAAGCGCUCAGUGGAAUUGCUGACAGGCUGUGAUCAAAGCAGCACCCUCAGGUGUUGCUGUGAUACACUGCUUGCUUACUGAAACAGAGCAGUUCAAACAGCCUGCUUGUAUUUAAUUGGGAUAUGCAGUAUUUCCAGCUUAUACUGCUCAGCCCCAAAGAAGGUUUCUGUUAGAUCUUUCACUCUGCUAUUGUUCCUCUAUUUGCUCAG